rfam:Theobroma cacao cultivar Matina 1-6 chromosome 5, whole genome shotgun sequence.
AUACCUUUCUCGGCCUUUUGGCUAAGAUCAAGUGUAGUAUCUGUUCUUAUCAGUUUAAUAUCUGAUACGUGGGCCAUCGGUCCACAUGAUAUUAAAUUAAUUUUUUGAGGGGAGGGCUCACCACAGUAGCUUGCUGCUGGAGCUUUCGCGCGUCGCCUAAGCGUUGCACUACAGUUUUGGCCUGGCGCACCCCAC